rnacentral:tRNA from 1 species
GCGGGUGUGGUGGAAUUGGUAGACACGCUAGACUUAGGAUCUAGUGCCGCAAGGUGUGAGAGUUCGAGUCUCUCCGCCCGCACUA